AUUGAACGCUGGCGGCAGGCCUAACACAUGCAAGUCGAACGGUAACAGGAAGAAGCUUGCUUCUUUGCUGACGAGUGGCGGACGGGUGAGUAAUGUCUGGGCAACCGCUUGAUGGAGGGGGAUAACUACUGGAAACGGUAGCUAAUACCGCAUAACUUCGCAAGACAAAAGAGGGGGACCUUCGGGCCUCUGGCCAUCGGAUGUGCCCAGAUGGGAUUAGCUAGUAGGUGGGGUAACGGCUCACCUAGGCGACGAUCCCUAGCUGGUCUGAGAGGAUGACCAGCCACACUGGAACUGAGACACGGUCCAGACUCCUACGGGAGGCAGCAGUGGGGAAUAUUGCACAAUGGGCGCAAGCCUGAUGCAGCCAUGCCGCGUGUAUGAAGAAGGCCUUCGGGUUGUAAAGUACUUUCAGCGGGGAGGAAGGGAGUAAAGUUAAUACCUUUGCUCAUUGACGUUACCCGCAGAAGAAGCACCGGCUAAUUCCGU
rnacentral:rRNA from 1 species